GAGGGUGCAAGCGUUAAUCGGAAUUACUGGGCGUAAAGCGUGCGUAGACGGUUAUGUAAGUCAGGUGUGAAAGCCCCGGGCUCAACCUGGGAAUUGCAUUUGAGACUGCAUAGCUAGGGUGCGGAAGAGGGAAGCGGAAUUUCCGGUGUAGCGGUGAAAUGCGUAGAUAUCGGAAGGAACACCAGUGGCGAAAGCGGCUUCCUGGUCCAGCACCGACGUUCAGGCACGAAAGCGUGGGGAGCAAACAGGAUUAGAUACCCUGGUAGUCCACGCCAUAAACGAUGAGAACUAGACGUUGAGAGGGUAAGCCUCCCAGUGUCGAAGCUAACGCGAUAAGUUCUCCGCCUGGGGAGUACGGCCGCAAGGUUG
rnacentral:rRNA from 1 species